rnacentral:rRNA from 1 species
AAUGGGCGCAAGCCUGAACCAGCCAUCCCGCGUGAGGGAAGAAGGCGCUAUGCGUUGUAAACUUCUUUUCCAGGGGAAGAAAACCAGAUACGUGUAUCGGCUUGCCGGUACCCUGGGAAUAAGCAUCGGCUAACUCCGUGCCAGCAGCCGCGGUAAUACGGAGGAUGCGAGCGUUAUCCGGAUUUAUUGGGUUUAAAGGGUGCGUAGGCGGACAAAUAAGUCAGUGGUGAAAACCUGCAGCUUAACUGUAGAAUUGCCAUUGAUACUGUUAGUCUUGAGUAUGGUCAAGGUAGGCGGAAUGUGUAAUGUAGCGGUGAAAUGCUUAGAUAUUACACAGAACACCGAUUGCGAAGGCAGCUUACUGGACCAUUACUGACGCUGAUGCACGAAAGCGUGGGGAUCGAA